rnacentral:rRNA from 1 species
UAGGGAAUAUUGCAAAAUGGGCGAAAGCCCGAUGCAGCAACGCCGCGUGGGCGAUGAAGGCCUUCGGGUCGUAAAGCCCUUUUUGAGGGGAUGAGGAAGGACAGUACCCUCAGAAUAAGCCUCGGCUAACUACGUGCCAGCAGCCGCGGUAAAACGUAGGAGGCGAGCGUUAUCCGGAUUUACUGGGCGUAAAGCGCGUGCAGGCGGAUUGGAGAGUUGGAUGUGAAAGCUCCCGGCUUAGCUGGGAGAGGUCGUUCAAUACUUCCAGUCUUGAGUGCAGUAGAGGGAAGUGGAAUUCCGGGUGUAGUGGUGAAAUGCGUAGAUAUCCGGAGGAACACCAGUGGCGAAAGCGGCUUCCUGGACUGUAACUGACGCUCAGACGCGAAAGCUAGGGUAGCAAACG